rnacentral:lncRNA from 1 species
AGAAAUAAAUGAAGAUAUUUUUUAAAGUAAAAAAGAAAAAAAAUAUUUGUAAGUCAUAAUAAAUUUUACUAUAAAUAAUUAGUUAUGUGACGGUAUUUAUUAUUAUAUUGAUUUUUUUUUUAUUUUAAAACGUGGGCCUAUUAAAAUUGUAUUAAUGGAAUAGAAAAAGAACCAGGAAAAAAAAAGAAAAAAGAAAUAGUUGCAGCGAAAAAAUAAAAGUAUUUUUAUUUAUUGUUUAUUUGAUAUUCGACGGAAAAAAGUUUAUAUUUAAUUGUAAUAAAACGAAAUGGAAAGAAAAAAAGAACGAAAGAAAAGAUAAAAUAAAAGGAAAGAGAAAAAGCAACAUAGGACCCCGCCUUCUUACUAAUCCACGCGCCAAGAGGGAGAGUUUUGAUACGCGCUGAUCCAGGCCGUUGAUGGGUACGUGAGAUGCA